GUGAACAUAGUACCAUCACCCUACCUCCACGUAAAUAUGCAUUCUUAAUUACAUGGCAGACAAUAUAUCACAUUACAAAUUUAAAUGCUCAAGCGUUAAUGUUAACCCAUGUUAAUACGCAAGACCUGACGAGUAAAAUCGUCUGUCGUUAGACUGGGCAAAAUAAUAAAGUUGGUUCCAUUUGGGCGGAUUGCAGCUUAAUGG